rnacentral:rRNA from 1 species
GAUCAUGCUCAGGAUGAACGCUAGCUACAGGCUUAACACAUGCAAGUCUAGGGGCAGCAUGGUCUUAGCUUGCUAAGGCCGAUGGCGACCGGCUCACGGGUGAGUAACACGUAUCCAACCUGCCGUCUACUCUUGGACAGCCUUCUGAAAGGAAGAUUAAUACAAGAUGGCAUCAUGAGUUCACAUGUUCACAUGAUUAAAGGUAUUCCGGUAGACGAUGGGGA